rnacentral:rRNA from 1 species
AUUGAACGCUGGCGGCAGGCUUAACACAUGCAAGUCGAGCGGGGUGAUGGUGCUUGCACUAUCACUUAGCGGCGGACGGGUGAGUAAUGCUUAGGAAUCUGCCUAUUAGUGGGGGACAACAUCUCGAAAGGGAUGCUAAUACCGCAUACGUCCUACGGGAGAAAGCAGGGGAUCACUUGUGACCUUGCGCUAAUAGAUGAGCCUAAGUCGGAUUAGCUAGGUGGUGGGGUAAAGGCCUACCAAGGCGACGAUCUGUAGCGGGUCUGAGAGGAUGAUCCGCCACACUGGGACUGAGACACGGCCCAGACUCCUACGGGAGGUAGCAGUGGGGAAUAUUGGACAAUGGGGGGAACCCUGAUCCAGCCAUGCCGCGUGUGUGAAGAAGGCCUUAUGGUUGUAAAGCACUUUAAGCGAGGAGGAGGCUCUUUUGGUUAAUACCCAAGAUGAGUGGACGUUACUCGCAGAAUAAGCACCGGCUAACUCUGUGCCAGCCGCCGCAGUAA